CUUCACUGGCACGGAUGGCUUUUAUUGCCAGCCUUACUGCCUUCAAAAAGGUGGUGAGGAUUACCUUGACCCGCUGCAGUGCAUAUGCCCCACUAUUCUGCUCCACCCCAAGAUAGCCCCACUAUUCUGGGAUUUUAUGCAGCGACAUAGGAGGAAUGCUCAUAUAUUUCCAGAAUAGGAUGAUAGAAAACUUCAGUGCAAUCUUGGGGAUGGAGUAAAAACGUCAUCUGAGUAAAGAGUUCAAAACGAGGAGGCGCAUCUUUAAAUCAGAGAAGUCAUUUCGAGGUUCUUCUAAACUCGUGGAUUAGGUCGUCCAAGUGGGACAGGCCCUUAACUCAGCAGGACAGGCAGCAUCUCUGGAGAAAAGGAAUGGGUGAUGUUUUUUGAGUUGAGCCCCUUCUUCCGCCUCAUUUCACCAGAUAGAUUAAAGAACGGUCACGACCCAAAACGUCACCCGUUUCUUCUCUCCUUAGGUCGUCCAUGUGGGACAGGCCUUCAGCCUUCUACGCUCCAAAGAAAAAAAGCCA